CCCCAUCUGGGAUGUGAGGAGCGCCUCUGCCCGGCCGAGACCCCGUCUGGGAGGGAUCACUGGAUACUGCAAGGCAAUAUAGAUGGUAGACGGGCAAGAGUGGAAGCAUCUCUCCAAUUUGAAGAAGAUGGCAAAACGUUGCCCUUGCAUAACAUCAGAAGAUCCCUAAUGUCUGCCUUGAAGAGCUCUCGACAAUAGCAGCAAUGAACUACAGGCUAGUGGAAAGAUAUUAACCUACUACUUCCUUCUCCCUUCUGAUCCUCC
rnacentral:lncRNA from 1 species